UUUUGAAACUAUGCCCUAACAACCGCUCAUUCAGAUUAGAAAUGCAAUAUACAUAUUUACGUUUAGAUGUCGUCUCUCUGUUGAAACCACUCCAUCCGUCUAUGGAAAGUAUUUCGAUGUCUCUACGGUAGUUGUCCUUCUUAGUUGUAGGCCUCUUUGUCUUGGAGUGUUCUUAGAAUGGAUACUUCAGGUGUCCCACACGGUGGUGAGAGGGAUCUGUUCUUCAAUCUCAAAUUGUCCUAGACUACUUUUACUUACCUAGCUGCAGACUGUGAAUGUUUGGUCAAGUCUUUACCUUAUUCUAUCGUUGAGAGUUUCAGAGGGUUCUGCUGUUUUCUCUUCUUGUAGUUUGAACCAUUUCAACGUUUGGACCACGUCCUCAAGUUCCCUGGUCUGUGUUUAAAUUUAAAGUCUUAUCUAAGCCCUCUGGCCUGAAAGGCGAUUCCAUCAUGUUGACACGAACACUGAGCUCACUUGUGCGUAGGUUUGCAAGAAAAAACCUCAUUUAGAGAAUCACAUUGCUAUCUUUUCACAAAUAGUUUCAUAUUUAAUCAUAUACGUUUUACAACAUGUAGAAGUACUGUACGUGGGGCGGCAGUAAACCUAUUGGGUAGAGCGUUCGGUUGUUGGAUCGAAUCCCCAAGCUGACAAGGUAAAAAAUCUGUUGUUCUGCCCCUGAACAAGGAGGUAAUCCCCGGUAGGCAGAAUUUGUUCUUAUUAGAAUUUGUUCUUAUUAUAAUUUGUUCUUAUUAACCGACUAAAUGUAAAAUACAAAAAAAAAAAAAAAACGUUUUUGAUAAUUACAGUGUGAAAGCUCUUAAAGUUACAAUGUCACCGUUAUAACGUUUUUCCAAUCAUUUCAAUGACAUCACAAAAUACACGUUAAUUUCCCAUAUUCCAUCUUUCAUCAUUCCCAACAUUCGGAUGUUGAAAUAUAUUGUCCCAAUCGUCAUUGUUUGAUGUUGAAUUUUUUGGGGCAAGAGUCUAUCUGUAACUACUACUACUACAGCUCUCAGAGACGUUUUCUACAACUCUCAGAGAGGUUUCCUACAGCUCUCAGGGACGUUUCCUACAACUCUCAGGGAGGUUUCCUACAGCUCUCAGGGAGGUUUUCUACAGCUCUCAGGGACGUUUCCUACAGCUCUCAGGGAGGUUUCCUACAGCUCUCAGGGAGGUUUCCUAUAUAGUGUACCACUUUUGAUCAAGGCCCCAGGGAAUAUAGGGACCAUAGGUAUUAUAGGGCUCUUGUGAAUACCAUUUGGGGUGCGGCCUUAACCUCUUAAUUUAAAGUUUGAGGUAAUUCCAUUGGGCAAAGCUGCCAGCUCAAUGUCCAAUGAGAUUGCUGUUUUUUUUGCAUUGUCAACUAACUUGAAUUCAAUUUAAAAUCAACCAAACAUGGAAAAACUACAGUCGAUGUCGGGUUCAAACCUAAGUUGAAACAAGACAAUUACAUACAUUAAUGAGUUACUUCAAAUGCGAUUGAAACAGAAACCAACAUUGAUACAACUUUAAUUGCGUUGAUCGGGUGUGGAUGAAUAACAUAGAAACAAUAUUUACACAACAUAAACUGAUCCAUUUGACCUUCUGUAUUCUCUCUAAGCUGAUUGGCUUAUUUUUAAUUGAGUCGGCCAUCCGUUUACUAUGGUCUCGAUUCUAGUAUUCUCAGACAACAUUCAAUAGUCUUCAGACAUAUUAUAGCGCUUCUCUUCAGUAUCUUCUGUCCUAUUGGGCCUUAGAUGAGACACAGGGCUUAGCUGGUCUGGCUGUCCUCUGUUGUGGUGAUAGAGGGAGGAAAGCAUACCUCUCCUGGGGUGUGUUUUAUGUUUCUCCUCUCUGUCUCUGUCAGCAUUAAAAGGGUUGCUGUCAAUUCUGUUGUUUUUUUUGGUUGUCUGUUUUUAAGCUGAGAUGUGGUUGGCUGUCCUCUUUGCAACCUUUUUGAACUAGCUUUUUGGGAUGACACGUCUGUUUUUACAUAUGCUUGUACCACGACGUCGUUGAAUACUGAAUUCUGAUUGGCUGAAAGGGCAUUCUAGAGUGUGCGUUAAUUGCAGAUAUACAGACUGUUGGAAAAGAUUAUUGGACACCUCUGAAGUAGUUUCACAAACAGUUGGAAUAGAUCCAUUAAACUACAAUGAAUAAGUCAAUAACAGUGUGCUGUUAUUUUCUCUUUCAGCUCCUAUGUGUGGUGGUCAGCUGAGAGGCCCGAACGGCAUCAUCACAUCACCAAACUACCCUGUCCAGUAUGACAACAAUGCUAACUGCACCUGGGUCAUCAUCGCUACAGACACCACCAAGGUAUGGUCUCACAUUGCUAAUGCUAUACGCUAAUACUGAAAAUGCUGUGCUAAUGUUGGUAUGCUAUAAUAUGCUAAUAUAGUACAGUACAGAACUGACAUGCUAAUAUGCUAAAUGCUAAUAUUGACUACUUCAUGUUAAUGUCACUAUGCUAUGCUAAUAUUUACCACAGUCUGACAUAAUAUGGAAAUGCUAUACGCAAACAUUGGAUACUUAAUGGUAAUGCUAUGCUAGCUACGCUAAUUCUUACUACUGUUUAUGUU
rnacentral:lncRNA from 13 species